rnacentral:rRNA from 1 species
UGUGAACUCGAAGAGUAGGGCGGGACACGUGGUAUCCUGUCUGAAUAUGGGGGGACCAUCCUCCAAGGCUAAAUACUCCUGACUGACCGAUAGUGAACCAGUACCGUGAGGGAAAGGCGAAAAGAACCCCGGCGAGGGGAGUGAAAAAGAACCUGAAACCGUGUACGUACAAGCAGUGGGAGCACCUUCGGGUGUGACUGCGUACCUUUUGUAUAAUGGGUCAGCGACUUAUAUUCUGUAGCAAGGUUAACCGUAUAGGGGAGCCGAAGGGAAACCGAGUCUUAACUGGGCGUUAAGUUGCAGGGUAUAGACCCGAAACCCGGUGAUCUAGCCAUGGGCAGGUUGAAGGUUGGGUAACACUAACUGGAGGACCGAACCGACUAAUGUUGAAAAAUUAGCGGAUGACCUGUGGCUGGGGGUGAAAGGCCAAUCAAACCGGGAGAUAGCUGGUUCUCCCCGAAAGCUAUUUAGGUAGCGCCUCGUGAACUCAUCUUCGGGGGUAGAGCACUGUUUCGGCUAGGGGGCCAUCCCGGCUUACCAACCCGAUGCAAACUACGAAUACCGAAGAAUGUUAUCACGGGAGACACACGGCGGGUGCUAACGUCCGUCGUGAAGAGGGAAACAACCCAGACCGCCAGCUAAGGUCCCAAAGUCAUGGUUAAGUGGGAAACGAUGUGGGAAGGCACAGACAGCCAGGAUGUUGGCUUAGAAGCAGCCAUCAUUUAAAGAAAGCGUAAUAGCUCACUGGUCGAGUCGGCCUGCGCGGAAGAUGUAACGGGGCUAAACCAUGCACCGAAGCUGCGGCAGCGAC